GAUGAACGCUGGCGGCGUGCCUAAUACAUGCAAGUCGAACGAAACUUCUUUAUCACCGAGUGCUUGCACUCACCGAUAAAGAGUUGAGUGGCGAACGGGUGAGUAACACGUGGGCAACCUGCCCAAAAGAGGGGGAUAACACUUGGAAACAGGUGCUAAUACCGCAUAACCAUAGUUACCGCAUGGUACCUAUGUAAAAGGUGGCUAUACUACCGCUUUUGGAUGGGCCCGCGGCGCAUUAGCUAGUUGGUAGGGUAAAGGCUUACCAAGGCAAUGAUGCGUAGCCGAAUUGAGAGGGUGAUCGGCCACAUUGGGACUGAGACACGGCCCAAACUCCUACGGGAGGCAGCAGUAGGGAAUCUUCCACAAUGGGCGAAAGCCUGAUGGAGCAACGCCGCGUGGGUGAAGAAGGUCUUCGGAUCGUAAAACCCUGUUGUUAGAGAAGAAAGUGCGUGAGAGUAACUGUUCACGUUUCGACGGUAUCUAACCAGAAAGCCACGGCUAACUACGUG
rnacentral:rRNA from 1 species